UUAUUGGAUUGAGCCUUGGUAUGGAAACCUACUAAGUGAGAACUUUCAAAUUCAGAGAAACCCUGGAAUUAAAAAUGGGCAAUCCUGAGCCAAAUCCUGUUUGUUUUACGAAAAUAAACAAAGGUUCGGAAAGAAAGAAUUUUUAAAAAGGGAUAGGUGCAGAGACUCAAUGGAAGCUGUUCUAACAAAUGGGGUUUGACUACCUUGGCAUUAGUAAAGGAUGAAGGAUAAACCUAUACGCAUACCUAAAGGUAAUAUUGUGAAUUAGUACUGAUUCCAAGUUGAAGAAGGAAUCGAAUACAACAUUCAUUAAUAAAAUCAUUCACCCCAUAGUUUGAUAAAUCUUUUGAACAACUGGUUAAUCGGACGAGAAUAAAGAUAGAGUCCCGCUCUACAUGUCAAUAUCAAUACUGACAACAAUGAAAUUUAUAGUAAGAGGAAAAUCCGUCGACUUUAAAAAUCGUGAGGGUUCAAGUCCCUCUAAUCUUACCCUCU
rnacentral:ncRNA from 1 species